rnacentral:rRNA from 1 species
CACUCCUGCGGGAGGCAGCAGUGGGGAAUAUUGGACAAUGGGCGCAAGCCUGAUCCAGCCAUGCCGCGUGAGUGAUGAAGGCCCUAGGGUUGUAAAGCUCUUUCACCGGUGAAGAUAAUGACGGUAACCGGAGAAGAAGCCCCGGCUAACUUCGUGCCAGCAGCCGCGGUAAUACGAAGGGGGCUAGCGUUGUUCGGAUUUACUGGGCGUAAAGCGCACGUAGGCGGACUAUUAAGUCAGGGGUGAAAUCCCGGGGCUCAACCCCGGAACUGCCUUUGAUACUGGUAGUCUUGAGUUCGAGAGAGGUGAGUGGAAUUCCGAGUGUAGAGGUGAAAUUCGUAGAUAUUCGGAGGAACACCAGUGGCGAAGGCGGCUCACUGGCUCGAUACUGACGCUGAGGUGCGAAAGCGUGGGGAGCAAACAGGAUUAGAAACCCCGGUAGUCCCAU